rnacentral:rRNA from 1 species
GACGAACGCUGGCGGCGUGCUUAACACAUGCAAGUCGAACGGAAAGGCCCUGCUUGCAGGGUACUCGAGUGGCGAACGGGUGAGUAACACGUGUGUGAUCUGCCCUGCACUUCGGGAUAAGCCUGGGAAACUGGGUCUAAUACCGGAUAGGAGCCAUUUUUAGUGUGAUGGUUGGAAAGUUUUUUCGGUGUAGGAUGAGCUCGCGGCCUAUCAGCUUGUUGGUGGGGUAAUGGCCUACCAAGGCGGCGACGGGUAGCCGGCCUGAGAGGGUGGACGGCCACAUUGGGACUGAGAUACGGCCCAGACUCCUACGGGAGGCAGCAGUGGGGAAUAUUGCACAAUGGGCGCAAGCCUGAUGCAGCGACGCCGCGUGGGGGAUGACGGCCUUCGGGUUGUAAACUCCUUUCGCUAGGGACGAAGCUUUUUGUGACGGUACCUAGAUAAGAAGCACCGGCUAACUACGUG